AACCCCAAACUGAGCUUUUCCGUGCAAUCAGCAUUAGGGUUUUAAACCCUAAACUGAACUUUUUCCCAUACAGCCAGCAUUAGGGUUUAAAACUCCAAACUGAGCUUUUCCUUCCAUUCAGCAUUAGGGUUUUAAACCCUAAACUGAACUUUUUUCCAUUCAGCCAGCAUUAGGGUUUUAAACCCUAAACUGAGCUUUUCCAUGCGAUCAACAUUAGGGUUUUAAACCCUAAACUGAAUUUUUCCUUUAGUCAGCAUUAGGGUUUUAAACCCUAAACUGAACUUUUUUCCAUUCAGCCAGCAUUAGGGUUUUAAACCCCAAACUGAGCUUUUCCAUGCAAUCAGCAUUAGGGUUUUAAACCCUAAACUGAAUUUUUCCUUUAGCCGGCUUUAGGGUUUUAAACCCUAAACUGAACUUUUUUCCUUUCAGCCAACAUUAGGGUUUUAACCCUAAACUGAGCUUUUCCAUGUAAUCAGCAUUAGGGUUUUAAACCCUAAACUGAAUUUUCCUUUUAGUCAGCAUUAGGGUUUUAAACCCUAAACUGAACUUUUUUCCAAUCAGCCAGCAUUAGGGUUUUAAACCCUAAACUGAGCUUUUCCAUGUAAUCAGCAUUAGGGUUUUAAGCCCUAAACUGAAUUUUCCUUUUAGUCAGCAUUAGGGUUUUAAACCCUAAACUGAACUUUUUUCCAUUCAGCCAGCAUUAGGGUUUUAAGCCCUAAACUGAGCUUUUCCAUGUAAUCAGCAUUAGGGUUUUAAACCCUAAACUAAAUUUUCCUUUUAGUCAGCAUUAGGGUUUUAAACCCUAAACUGUACUUUUUUCCAUUCAGCCAGCAUUAGGGUUUUAAACCCCAAACUGAGCUUUUCCUUCCAGUCGGCAUUAGGGUUUUAAACCCUAAACUGAAUUUUCCUUUCAGUCAGCAUUAGAGUUUUAAACCCUAAACUGAAUUUUUCCUUUCAGUCAGCAUAAGGGUUUAAAACCCUAAACUGAAUUUUUCCUUUAGUUAGCAUUAGGGUUUUAUACCCUAAAC
rnacentral:lncRNA from 1 species